rnacentral:sRNA from 1 species
AUCAUAAUUAAAAAUUAUUAUUCUUUUCUAUAAAGAAAAUAUUGAA